UUUCUUUUCUUUUCUUUCCCUUUCUUUUCUCUUCCUCUCCCUCAUGCACAGCUCCUCUUCUCUCCCUUUCUUCACACACACACGUUGAGAGAGAGAGUCGGACCGAGAGAGAGAGAGAGAGAGAAUUACUGAUGUCCGGCCAUGAGAGAAUAAGAAGAGAAGAAAAAGAAUAGAAGAAGAAAAGGAGAGAGGGCCUGUGAUGAUCCAGCUGAGAGAGAGAGAGAGAGUCACGGUGCAAAGUUGAAGAAGAAGUAGACUCCGGCCAUGGGCUUCUUGAGAUGAUGUACAUUUGGCUGCAGGUACUCCGGUCGUAGUUGAUGUGUUGUAGAUGUGGACUUGGGAUCUUAUGACCGAAGCUCGCCGCGACGGUCAUAACUACAGGACCAUGGGCGUCCUCAGUUUUAUGGGUUUUGUUUAUGGUUUGUGACGCCUGUGUCACUUGUUAUAGUAUAAAGUCAUUUGUGUUAUGUAUUUAAUUUGGAGAAGGACUUAAAUAGAUAGAUGUAAUAUUGACUCUUGAUUAUGAUUAAUUUAUGAUAGAUGUUUAAGAUGUGAUUUCCGCU